UACGAAGGGGGCUAGCGUUGCUCGGAAUCACUGGGCGUAAAGGGUGCGUAGGCGGGUUUUUAAGUCAGGGGUGAAAUCCUGGAGCUCAACUCCAGAACUGCCAUUGAAACUGUUUAGCUUGAGGACGAGAGAGGUGAGUGGAAUUCCCAGUGUAGAGGUGAAAUUCGUAGAUAUCGGGAGGAACACCGGUGGCGAAGGCGGCGAUCUGGGUAGAUACUGACGCUGAGGUGCGAAAGCGUGGGGAGCAAACAGG
rnacentral:rRNA from 1 species